UACAGAGGGGGCAAGCGUUGUUCGGAAUUACUGGGCGUAAAGGGCGCGUAGGCGGCCUUCUAAGUCGAACGUGAAAUCCCUGGGCUCAACCCAGGAACUGCGUCCGAUACUGGGAGGCUUGAAUCCGGGAGAGGGAUGCGGAAUUCCAGGUGUAGCGGUGAAAUGCGUAGAUAUCUGGAGGAACACCGGUGGCGAAGGCGGCAUCCUGGACCGAUAUUGACGCUGAGGCGCGAAAGCCAGGGGAGCAAACGGG
rnacentral:rRNA from 1 species